GACGAACGCUGGCGGCGUGCUUAACACAUGCAAGUCGAACGGUAAGGCCUUCGGGUACACGAGCGGCGAACGGGUGAGUAACACGUGGGUGAUCUGCCCCCUACUCUGGGAUAAGCCUGGGAAACUGGGUCUAAUACCGGAUAUGACCUCCUUCUGCAUGGUUGGUGGUGGAAAGUUUUUUCGGUAGGGGAUGAGCCCGCGGCCUAUCAGCUUGUUGGUGGGGUAAUGGCCUACCAAGGCGACGACGGGUAGCCGGCCUGAGAGGGCGACCGGCCACACUGGGACUGAGACACGGCCCAGACUCCUACGGGAGGCAGCAGUGGGGAAUAUUGCACAAUGGGCGAAAGCCUGAUGCAGCGACGCCGCGUGGGGGAUGACGGCCUUCGGGUUGUAAACCCCUUUCAGUCGGGACGAAGCGAGAGUGACGGUACCGAUAGAAGAAGCACCGGCCAACUACGUGCCAGCCGCCGCUGUAACAC
rnacentral:rRNA from 1 species